rnacentral:rRNA from 1 species
UACGUAGGGUGCGAGCGCUAAUCGGAAUUACUGGGCGUAAAGCGUGCGCAGGCGGUCUGUUAAGACCGAUGUGAAAUCCCCGGGCUUAACCUGGGAACUGCAUUGGUGACUGGCAGGCUUUGAGUGUGGCAGAGGGAGGUAGAAUUCCACGUGUAGCAGUGAAAUGCGUAGAGAUGUGGAGGAAUACCGAUGGCGAAGGCAGCCUCCUGGGCCAACACUGACGCUCAUGCACGAAAGCGUGGGGAGCAAACAGG